rnacentral:rRNA from 1 species
UACGGAGGGUGCGAGCGUUAAUCGGAAUUACUGGGCGUAAAGCGUGCGCAGGCGGUUUGUUAAGCGAGAUGUGAAAGCCCCGGGCUCAACCUGGGAACCGCAUUUCGAACUGGCAAACUAGAGUCUUGUAGAGGGGGGUAGAAUUCCAGGUGUAGCGGUGAAAUGCGUAGAGAUCUGGAGGAAUACCGGUGGCGAAGGCGGCCCCCUGGACAAAGACUGACGCUCAUGCACGAAAGCGUGGGGAGCAAACAGG